rnacentral:rRNA from 1 species
UCGGUGCCGCAGCUAACGCAUUAAGUACUCCGCCUGGGAAGUACGCUCGCAAGAGUGAAACUCAAAGGAAUUGACGGGGACCCGAACAAGUAGCGGGGCAUGUGGUUUAAUUCGAAGCAACGCGAAGAACCUUACCUAAGCUUGACAUCCCAAUGACAUCUCCUUAAUCGGAGAGUUCCCUUCGGGGACAUUGGUGACAGGUGGUGCAUGGUUGUCGUCAGCUCGUGUCGUGAGAUGUUGGGUUAAGUCCCGCAACGAGCGCAACCCUUGUCUUUAGUUGCCAUCAUUAAGUUGGGCACUCUAGAGAGACUGCCAGGGAUAACCUGGAGGAAGGUGGGGAUGACGUCAAAUCAUCAUGCCCCUUAUGCUUAGGGCUACACACGUGCUACAAUGGGUAGUACAGAGGGUUGCCAAGCCGUAAGGUGGAGCUAAUCCCUUAAAGCUACUCUCAGUUCGGAUUGUAGGCUGAAACUCGCCUACAUGAAGCUGGAGUUACUAGUAAUCGCAGAUCAGAAUGCUGCGGUGAAUGCGUUCCCGGGUCUUGUACACACCGCCCGUCACACCACGGGAGUUGGAGACGCCCGAAGCCGA